CCUACGGGAGGCAGCAGUGGGGAAUUUUGGACAAUGGGCGCAAGCCUGAUCCAGCAAUGCCGCGUGAGUGAAGAAGGCCUUCGGGUUGUAAAGCUCUUUUGUCAGGGAAGAAACGGUGGGGGCUAAUAUCUCCUACUAAUGACGGUACCUGAAGAAUAAGCACCGGCUAACUACGUGCCAGCAGCCGCGGUAAUACGUAGGGUGCAAGCGUUAAUCGGAAUUACUGGGCGUAAAGCGUGCGCAGGCGGUUUUGUAAGUCUGUCGUGAAAGCCCCGGGCUCAACCUGGGAAUUGCGAUGGAGACUGCAAGGCUUGAAUCUGGCAGAGGGGGGUAGAAUUCCACGUGUAGCAGUGAAAUGCGUAGAGAUGUGGAGGAACACCGAUGGCGAAGGCAGCCCCCUGGGUCAAGAUUGACGCUCAUGCACGAAAGCGUGGGGAGCAAACAGGAUUAGAUACCCUGGUAGUCCACGCCCUAAACGAUGUCUACUAGUUGUCGGGUUUUAAUUAACUUGGUAACGCAGCUAACGCGUGAAGUAGACCGCCUGGGGAGGUACGGUCGCAGAUAAACUUAAAUAGAGUAGAGNGNGAGAGNGCGAGACGACACGAGGGAGGAGG
rnacentral:rRNA from 1 species